rnacentral:rRNA from 1 species
AUGUCCACCAAGAGGGUUCUUUGCAAGUUCUUCAUGCAUGGUGCUUGCUUGAAAGGAGAGUAUUGUGAGUUCUCCCACGACUGGAGUGACCAAGCAAAUAAUGUUUGCACGUUUUACCAGAGAGGCUCAUGCUCUUAUGGUAACCGUUGCAGAUAUGACCAUGUCAAGGUUUCUCGUAACAACCCAGUGCCUCCACUACCAUCAUCAAGUACCGCAACACGUAAUUCCCCACUUCGCCCGCCACCAUCAUCAAGUACUGCGACACAUGUUGCAUCUACAUCUCCACAACUUUUAAGUUCUGGACGUCCUCUUCACUUGGGACACCAAACAAAUUCAAGCAACCAACGGCAACAGAUAUCUAUGGAUAAGCUGGCAGUUUCUGAAAGUAAGCCUGCAUGGAGGAAUGAGGUCCAACUUAACAGUGUAUCAGAGGAUGGGAUUGGCUGGUCAUCCAUUCAAACUGCGCAAAACCAAACUUCCAUGAAACUUGCUGAUAUGCCAAUUUGUUCUUUUGCUGCUGGUGGUAACUGCCCGUAUGGGGAAGAGUGUCCUCACAUGCAUGGGGAUUUGUGUGCGUUCUGUGGGAAAAUGUGCUUGCAUCCUUAUCGUCCUGAUGAGAGGCAGGAGCAUAUCAAGCUAUGUGAAAAGAACCACAAGCGUCUUGAGGCUUUGAAACGUAGCCAAGAAAUAGAAUGCAGUGUCUGCUUGGACCGUGUGCUCUCAAAGUCUACUGCUGCAGAAAGGAAAUUUGGACUAUUAUCUGAAUGUGAUCAUCCCUUCUGUAUUUCAUGCAUAAGAAAUUGGCGUGGCAACUCUCCUACAUCUGGUAUGGAUGUGAACUCAGCACUGAGAGCUUGCCCAAUAUGCCGCAAACUUUCGUACUAUGUCAUUCCAAGUGUUCUUUGGUACUUCUCGAAAGAGGAAAAGUUGGAGAUCACUGAAAACUACAAAGCAAAGCUCAAGUCAAUAGAUUGCAAGUACUUCGAUUUCGGAACGGGCACUUGCCCCUUCGGGACAAGCUGUUUCUACAAGCAUGCUUACAGAGAUGGCCGCUUGGAAGAAGUCGUAUUGCGACAUCUUGAUUGUGAUGAUGGAAGUACACUUAUUGCUAAGAACAUUAGGUUGUCAGACUUCCUCGGCCGGUUGCAUCUUUAG